AAUCUGCUCAGGGAACAUGUUGUCCUCUCCUGUUUGCAGGGCCAUUUCUUGGACAAGCAGCAGCUCUGUUUGCUGGACUUUUGGCCCCAUGCAGUCACUGUGAGGCAAGGCACAUCUCACACAAACGGGCCAGUGAAAUGAGGUAAUUGCGGCUUUCGAUGAAUGCUAUUUCUGUCUCAUGGGCUAUGCUGGCUGGGAUAUGAAGAACAAGAGUUAGUGUAUCUGACACAUUAUGGCUUUCUCCACAAAGUGGAAAUAGAUAACGCAGGAAUGGGAAAGUCCCUCUCUGUUUUCUUCUCCUAAUGAUGAGUGAAUAUUCCAUGCACAUGCUAUUUUCAGGCAAGACCUGCACCAUGUUGGAAAGUCUUUACAAUUGCCAGAACAUUCCCGUUUGGGCACAAAAAAUGACCUUUCAACAUGAUUUAAUACAACUAUAUGGAACAUAAUCUAUGUGUCGAGCGUGUUAUACACGUCAUCUAUUUUCCUCUUCACAAGGACCCUCAGAAAUAAUUAGUUUUCCUACUGUAGAAACUAGUAAAUAUGACUCAAAGUGGUGAAACUCCAGGACACAGAACUAACAUGUAUGUGCAAGGCCAGGGUGGGUACCAAAAUAUCUUCUCUCCAUAAGCUAAAGCCAUUUACUGCACCAGUGCAUAUUUUAGUCAUUUAAAUUAGAUUAUUUUCCCUUGAAGUAUAUUUUAUUCUGUCAUAUUACUUCAA
rnacentral:lncRNA from 1 species